GCCCACCCGUUACAGCCAGAGCGGCCGGACACCGGCUCCGGGCGGUCCCCAGCUUAGAGUGCUGCUCCAGCGGGCCUCUGGGCACCUGCUGCGGCCGCAGCUCGCAGUGUUCUCGGCCAGGUUUCCGGAGCUCUGUCCCCGGCGCCGUGCGGUGGGAGCUGGUUGAACAGCGGUGAUGGCUCCAGCGGCUGCUGUGAGGCACCGGCUGCGGGAUCGCCCUAAAGCGAGUGUUCUGUGUUCUGAGGGGCUGUCACCCUUUUUUCUCCUUUUCUGCUGCUAAUAAGAACCCCAGUGCAGUUUGGGAUUCUGUCCAAGCCCCUACCAAGGCAGGGUCACCCAGAGCAGGUGACACAGGAGCACCUCCUGUUGUCAUUACAGUCAGUUACCUGACUCCAGUUCCCUCAACCACCCAACCCAGUCUUUUAUAACACUCCUCUAUUGGCUACAGCUGUGGCCUGUUAACAUCAGGCCUGCUCCUAAUCCUUCACAAUUGGCUCAGCUGCAACUCUUUAGGGGGUGAGUUUGGAAUCUCUUCAGACAGGAAUGCUCCAUGGCCUCCCUAGGCUGCCUUUCCGGUGUUUUGUCAACCUGAACGUAAAGAAUUUCUUCCUCAUGUUGAGGUAUUCCAACAGUACCUGCCCUGACCAAAGUAGAGUGUUGCUGACAGCUUCCCAGCACUGCAGAGAUCCCUCCAUUUUCUGAGCCAUCUUGCCACUGCAGUUAAUGCCAGCUGAGGAUUAAAUAAGUAAAAGCCUAUCAGAACACGGUUCUUGUAAUAUUUUCAAUAUAGUGCACAAACUCAGAGUCUCUAUAUUACAGUUCUUCUAAUCCUUUCAUGGUUUGUAAAAGAAAAGAAAAAGAAAACAACCUUUUUCUAAUUUAUCAUUGCCCCUCCUAAAUGGAUAGUGUAAAAUUGGAUGGUUUAGCAAUGUUUAGACCUGGGAUAUGUAGUGAAAAGAAAAAAAAAUACAGCAGUAGUAUUCAUUUGAGAAGACACACACUUGGCUGAUGUUCCUUUGUGAGAAGGUAAUAAAGAAAUUACUUUUACUUUUUUUCCCCCUUUUUUACUGCUAAUAAGAACUUGGGAAACUUGAGGGAAACGUUCUCAUCUUUCUAUAGAUUCUCUAGGGAAAGAAGGAAAAGCAAUUGGCCAAAGCAGAGAGAGGGUUGAACCAAAUUAGGAGAAUUUAAGUGACAAAGAACUGGUGGUGCAGAAGGGAAGGCUGAGGAAUGUUUUAUUUAGUGGUGGUACAGGGUGGUGAACAAUUAUAGCUGUGUCAUUAAAGAACAUGCAAAUGAAGGGGCUGAGAAGGAACAACAUGUAAAAUGAUGGCUCCAAAUAAAUGGGAGUGUUCCUGUGAAUUCCAAAGAACAAGAAAGAAAAGCUUACUUUGUAACAAAUUUAUCAGUAAUUUCUAGCCACAUUGAGCUCAGAGGAGGUUUGCAUUUCAGCCAAACGCUGAUCAGGAAGGAGGCACAGUUGGUUUCAUUUCUGAGAGAGAACAGAGUGUUCCUAAGUCAGGGGAGAUGUCAUGGAGCUGCUAAUCCCUGAGAAGUAGGUCAGGCUGGCCAGGAUGGAGAUGGCACACCUCAUUGAGCCUGAUUAGAAACAUCCAUUAAAUGGAUGAAAAGAGAAAGCAAGGAGGGCCAGUCAGAGAAAACAAGGGUCUAGGCCAGACCUUCCCUUGCUUCUGUGGUGAUUUCAGUUAUUCUGUUCCUUCCACAAUUUACCCUCCCUUAGCUUCAGUGGGCUUCUGUUAACCUGCCCUGCUCCAGCCCUUACAGUGUGUGCGUGCUGCUCUGUGGGCUCUGCACACGGGGAGCCACAGAUUUCCAGCUUCCAAACCCCCACUGCUGCUGCAGGACAAGAACAGCUGCAGGAAUCCAGCUGUCACUUUAGGUUUCCACAGCUGGUGAUUGCAGUGUAGCCAUGACCCCAGGUGAGUUUUGGACAGAAUUUGAUGUAAAUAAAAAAAAAAAAAAAAAAAAAUUCUAGUCUGCGUUUGUUUGUUUUAACCUUGAUGAUAAAAUGGAAAGUUCAAGUACAGUGUGGAAAGAACAAGUGAAGCUACAUGGAGGGAAAGAUGCCAACCUUUCUCUUGCUCUGUGACACUCAGCUCACAAAUAUUUCUGUGCUGGAAUGAUAAUUUAUCUGUGUGACCAGCCCUUGCUCUGCACAGAGGACACCACCUAAAUACAUUGUUUCCUAGACCUCCACAUCAGUAAUUUCACUGUUUCUCUUGAGCCGUGUGAGCAAGACAGGACUUUGUGUUUUACCACUAUUUUCCAUAUAGGGAAGCUGAGCUAGGUGGCUUUUAAAAGGUCCCUUCCUACUCAGACUUCUGUGUCUUUGUGUUCACUGAACUAAAAUUUGCCUCCCCUGAUAGUGUGGUUUUCUAGUGGAAAAAGAAGGGAGUUUAAAAUUUUAGAGGUAUUAGGUGGCACAGAGGAUGAAGUUGGAAAAGUCUUUCCCAACUUUCCUUAACUUGGUUUCUAUUUGGUUUAUUUUCUACUUUAUUGAAUGUUGUCCUAUUGUUAGUUUGUGUGGGUGUCUUGUGGUAAGGAAAGGUAUUCCAGCAUUCUUGAUAUGUUUUCUCUCUCUGUGUGCCAUGAUGGAUUCAUGACACUGCCUAGAGCAGAAUAAAUUACUGCAACAGUCAUUUUCCUAAAAUACACCUGAUAUCACCAGCUAUGUGAUUUUUUCCAGUUUUCUGGAUUUCCAGAACUGCUCUCCUAAACUUUUGGAAUUUGUUCUUGAUGGGUUGGUUGUGAAACUAGAAAACAAGAGGUUAUCAUCACACAGACAAUAGCAAUGUUGAUAUUUCCAAUUUUAAUUUGUACAUGUGUCUAACAACACAAAUAGCAGUUGCAAUAUACUUUUCACUAUGUGAAUGCUAAAAGAGUUUUAUAACUUAAAUAAUGUAGUAGAGAAUAAAUAAGAUGUGGCCAAAAUACGUAUUCAAUGCAUUUUCUACCAUGGAUUUAUUAACAAUAAAUCUUGUUAUGUUUAAAGAGAAUGGUGUGGUUUAGAACAGAUAAAUCAAUAAAUACACAACACUGAAACUGUUGGGAAGUCACCAGGGCCCUGCCUUUGAUAUCCAAUACAAAUGAACAAAAGCUUUUAGACAAAACUUUGACUUUUGACAAGGAAUGUUGAAAGCUGUGCUCCAAAAAUCAGACCAAAGAAUUCAUUGGAAUAUUAAAAUAAUAUACAUGAAGAGUAUAUCUUCAUAUAUGUUCAUUUCUUGUUCAUUUUCAUCAAGUUGAUGUGAAUCUAAUGACUGCUCACCAGAAGGUAGGUACGCAAUGAGAGAAAGAAAUCAUAUUUACAGGGUACUCUCCCCAGAAUUCAUCCAGUUGAACAUCUCUGACUAACUUUGAGUUUUGCUGGUCUCCAGAAAUGUGAAGAACUAGUCCUGCCAAGAUUUGGAGACAAGUUAUCAAGAGUAUUCAACAUUGAAAAAUAUACCUUAUUAUCAAAAAAUAUCACUCACUUUUAUGCUUCUUACACAGGUAAGCUGAUGUGCACCAACAGUUCUUCCCCACUGUCCUGAGUGGCUCCUCUUGAUCUUGAAAUCUGUGAAAAGUGCAUGUUAUAUGGGUCUGUGCAGAUAUUCACCAUAUGUGUUUUGAUGUAUUGAUUAGCAGUGCUGUAUUAACAUGUAAUAAUAUGAUAAAUGAAGUCUUGUAGUUAAAAGGUAACUUUUGUAGCUAAAAUAAGAGCUAUGUUACUGGGAUUUUUUUAAGAAAGGAAUGAGGCACUCGCAGCAGAUAGCAGCCCCAGGACACCUGAAUCUUUCAGAGAAAAGGAAUUUAUUGCCCUCUUAGCAGAAGAAACGAACUUCUUCCCACCUCCAAGGUGCUGUCAGGAUUAGAAGGAAGAAGUUGAUGAUGACCAGACAGAAUCCUGUAUUUGAAUGGAAUUUAUGCAUCAUGUAUGAAUUGUAUGAAUAUGCAACAGUCUAUUGUUUUGAACGGUUAAUCCUUUGUUCAUGUGGGUCCUUUUUCGGGCUCCUGCUGCCCAGAAAAAGGUAUUCAGACAUCCAUAACUCUUUGUCUCUAUUGUCUCAUAUUGUCCUAAUUCAAUUUGUCCAAAUUGUUAUUACUCUAAUUGUAUUACUAUUUUUAUA